ensembl:ncRNA F14F3.16 ncRNA
AUAACUAGUUUCAAAAAAAACUCUGACAUCAAUAUAGUCGCAUUAAUUUGUACUUAAUAAAAGAAGAGUUAAA